rnacentral:tRNA from 1 species
GGCCGAGUAGCAAAGUGGGAAUGCUGGGGACUGCAAAUCCUCGACGAGGCGGUUCGAUUCCGCCCUCGGCCUCCA